UACAGAGGGUGCGAGCGUUGUUCGGAAUUAUUGGGCGUAAAGCGCGUGUAGGCGGUCUGUUAUGUCGGGUGUGAAAGCCCUCAGCUUAACUGAGGAAGUGCGCCCGAAACUGGCAGACUUGAGUGCCGGAGAGGAUAGCGGAACACCCGGUGUAGAGGUGAAAUUCGUAGAUAUCGGGUAGAACACCAGUGGCGAAGGCGGCUAUCUGGACGGACACUGACGCUGAGACGCGAAAGCGUGGGGAGCAACAGGAUUAGAAACCCUUCGA
rnacentral:rRNA from 1 species